CCCGAGCCCAGCAGAGCCGCUUCCAUGCCAACCGCGGCGGGCGUGCGCCCGGGUCCUCAUCGUCCUGGCGACCGCUCACCUGCAGCGCUGCCCGCUGAUGCUCGGCCCCCGGGGCGCUGCCGGGCGGGGCCAACCGCGCAGCCCCGGGCUCCUGAACCGCAAAGCCAGGCGUGCCAGGCGCACCGAACCGCACUGCACCGCACGUCGCCACUUGCACCCCUCUGGGAGCUUACCCAAGACGGCACCAAUGGUAGAUCGGCAUAGUUUGGUGAAAUGGUGAGUUUAUUCAGCUUAGUUACAGGAGCAUGAGUGAUUCCCCCAAAUAAGCCACAUUGUUGAGUUGUCACUCUGCCGUGGGAGAUGACAUGCCCACAGCUCCUCAGAUGGAGUCUGUACAGAGUCCCCACAGAUUCACAGAUGGAGCCUAGGCAAAGAGGAUCAUUUCUCCACAGCUCCACAGCUCCACAGUCCCAUCCUGUGGACAGAACCUUAAAUCCAAUUAGAGAGUAGUUAGCUGCACCCAUAACUGUCAGGACACUUCCAGGAAGUACUAACAGAGGGAAGACGACCCUUCCCCAGUAGGUAAAACCUUCCAGAAGUUAUCUCAGAUACAAAGAGGCCUCCCCUUUACUGGGUAAAGGGGUUUGCCCACAAACUGGACAGCUCAAGGGUGAUUCGUGGGCACCACUUGGAUCCUUGACCUCCACACAUAUGAACACACACACACACACACACACACACACACACAAUGUAAAAAGAAAAACAGGAAGGAGGAGGGCUGCCAUCCUGGCUCCCAGGUGACAAUCCGUGUGUCUGUCCCAUACCUGCUCCUGCUCCUGCUCCUGCUGGACUCUCCCCCACCCCCACUUCACCCCCGUUCCACAUCAGAACCCAGCGUCGUGGACCCCUCUAAUGUGGAUCGAAGAACCGUGAUUCUGCAGGGUUCUUCCAGGUCUUCAGCAUGCAAGUAGCUCCGCAGAGGCAUCUAGUUUCAUGGACAGAGCAGGGUUGGCAGACCUUCUGUUUGGGGGACCCUAGUGGCCCAGGAUUAAUGGAGGAAGAAGGGUCAAGGAGAGCUUCAACCUCAUACAUCAGAUGAGGACGGCAGGCAGCUCCCUCCCUCCCCCCACACUGGCCAUGAAGCCACCGUGCCACCAUCAACCCUAGGAAGAAUUUAUUUCCUGCUUUCUUGGAUGUUGGUCUCCUUCUAGAGUUGGAGUUUUCCUCCUAGUAUGUUCCGUGGAGCUGGAUUUGCGAAUUUUGUUUGAACUUGGAUUUGUCACGAACUAUCUUGUUCUUCCAUGCAGACGAAGCGUCUUCCAAUACCCUUGUUCUGGCCAAUUGUACUCAGGAACUCAAACCUUGACUGCGGAGACCCUGGCCACCUCCCCAAAGGCAUAAAUACCCCUUUCCCCCACAGUAAACUGAACCAGUUCUCUGAAGCUGCUCUGGUGAGUGUGUGUGUGUGUUCUUUGCCCUUGAACUCAUCACCUUCCAAGAUCCUGCCUGCACGGACCUGUCCCAACUAAGCUUUCCUCCCUCUAGGCCAGCCUGGUGUGCAAAGGGCCUGCCUACCCUGAGCGGAAGCAGACACCAGAAGACUUCAAUAUGCAGGGUUGCUCCAGGAUAGCCAACUCCUAGUGUGUAAGCCAUUCUUUUUUUCUUUUUUGUUUUUUGUUGUUGUUGUUGUUGUUGUUGUUUUUGGUUCUUUGAUUUUUUUCAAGACAGGGUUUCUCUGUAUAGCCCUGGCUGUCCUGGAACUCACUUUGUAGACCAGGCUGGCCUCAAACUCAGAAAUCUACCUGCCUCUGCCUCCCAAAUGCUGGGAUUAAAGGUGUGCGCCACCACUGCCCCACGUGUGUAAGCCACUCUAUUAACCUUGUUUUAUUAUAUAUAUCCAUCCUAUUGGUCCUGAUCCUCUAAAGAAUGUUAAUAAACUGGUUUUAUAGCAAAAUUAGGAGUAGAAU
ensembl:lncRNA